GCUACCUUUGACAGAGCACAUACUAAAACUGAAAUACAGUAAUUGAUUAGCAAGGCCUUGGCUCAAGAAUGACAAACAUAUUCAUGAAAUGUUCCAUAUUUUU
ensembl:snRNA U6 U6 spliceosomal RNA